UGGGUUUAUAUAUAGACACCCCUCCAACAAGGAAGAAAUCUUUUACUCCUGCAACACGGGCUAUAAACCAUUCUCUGGGAACUGGUGGGCUUCAGUGACAUGCAAGAAAGGAUUCAGUCUGACGAGGCUCGCUGCAUCCGGGAGGAAGAAUGUGGUGCUCUUCCUAGUGUUCACCGUGGAAAACUAACCCCUUCGUGAUCCAGAAACUGCUGAUGUGGAAUGUGAUCCAGGGUUCAUAUCAAAUGAACGCUUCAUAAAAUGCAUCAAUGGUAAUUGGGAGAAACCAGUGUGUAAGGAGGGUGUGCCUUGUGGCAUUCCUCCAAAUGUGAAAAAUGCAGUCAUAACAUCUAAACUGAAGAAUGUUAUCCUGAUGGAUCUAGCUUAACAUACGAAUGUCAAAGCCCAUACUCAAUCAGUGGAGAAAAGAACGGUUUCCUGUCGCAAUGGAACAUGGGAAAAAAAACACCAAACAUGUCAAGAUUGCUCCACAGCAAUAAGCGCUGAGUCUCUUUGGUUGCGUAUUGUGGGCGGUACGGAGGCUGUGAAGAAUCAGUGGGGUUGGCAGACCAGUUUACAAUAUCAGGGCAAACACGUGUGUGGAGGAGUCAUCAUCAGCCCUCGGCUGGGUCAUCACUGCCG